AGGCAUACCCAUAGACCUUGCGUGAAUGUCCUCAUGGCCAGACAAGGGGGACUGUACACAAGAGUAACUUUAGAGUUUGUGCCAGCUGUAGCCAGCUAAAUACAUGGCUAUAUAAAUUGCCACACCACAUUU